rnacentral:lncRNA from 1 species
UUGAGAGAGAAUUGAUGAAAUAAGCAUAAAGUGCUUUGGAAUAUGCUUAAUUCUUUAUUUAAGACGGAUUGAGGCCUUGGGGAUUGACCACAAUACCUUUUUUAAUAUUUAAACGGAACUGAAAAAACAACAUUUUUCGAACUGAGUGGCCACCGCGACGUGCCACUAUCGCGGUGGCUCACUGAAAAUUGACAAAUAGGAACUGGGUUUCCUCCGCGACGUGCCACCAUCGUG